CGUAAAACGGGACGGCCCGCCAGAGGACCCAAACUCUAAUGUUUCUUAUUGUAACUUCUGAGUAAAACAAACAAAUAAAUCAAAACUUUCAACAACGGAUCUCUUGGUUCUGGCAUCGAUGAAGAACGCAGCAAAAUGCGAUAAGUAAUGUGAAUUGCAGAAUUCAGUGAAUCAUCGAAUCUUUGAACGCACAUUGCGCCCGCUGGUAUUCCGGCGGGCAUGCCUGUUCGAGCGUCAUUUCAACCCUCAAGCCCCCGGGUUUGGUGUUGGGGAUCGGCUCUGCCUCACGGCGGUGCCGCCCCCGAAAUACAUUGGCGGUCUCGCUGCAGCCUCCAUUGCGUAGUAGCUAACACCUCGCAACUGGAACGCGGCGCGGCCAUGCCGUAAAACCCCAACUUCUGAAUGUUGACCUCGGAUCAGGUAGGAAUACCCGCUGAACUU
rnacentral:rRNA from 1 species